GAUGAACGCUAGCGGCAGGCUUAAUACAUGCAAGUCGAGGGGCAGCAUGAUUGUAGCAAUACAAUUGAUGGCGACCGGCAAACGGGUGCGGAACACGUACACAACCUUCCAACAAGUGGGGGAUAGCCCAGAGAAAUUUGGAUUAAUACCCCGUAACAUAGCGAUGUGGCAUCACAUUGCUAUUAUAGAUUUUUCGCUUGUUGAUGGGUGUGCGGCUGAUUAGAUAGUUGGCGGGGUAACGGCCCACCAAGUCUACGAUCAGUAGCUGAUGUGAGGGCAUGAUGAGCCACACGGGCACUGAGACACGGGCCCGCCUCCUACGGGAGGCAGCAGUAAGGAAUAUUGGACAAUGGACGCAAGUCUGAUCCAGCCACGCCGCGUGAAGGAUUAAGGUCCUCUGGAUUGUAAACUUCUUUUAUAAGGGACGAAAAAAGGCUUUUCUAAGUCGUCUGACGGUACCUUAUGAAUAAGCACCGGCUAACUCCGUGCCAGCAGCCGCCGUAACAC
rnacentral:rRNA from 1 species